CAGUAGCCGCGGGAAUACGUAGGUGGCAAGCGUUGUCCGGAAUUACUGGGCGUAAAGCGCACGUAGGCGGCUUUGUAAGUUAGAGGUGAAAGCCUGGGGCUCAACUCCAGAAUUGCCUUUAAGACUGCAUCGCUUGAACGUCGGAGAGGUGAGUGGAAUUCCGAGUGUAGAGGUGAAAUUCGUAGAUAUUCGGAAGAACACCAGUGGCGAGGGCGGCUCACUGGACGACUGUUGACACUGAGGUGCGAAAGCGUGGGGAGCAAACAGGAUUAGAUACCCCGGUAGUCCCUGUCUCUUAUAC
rnacentral:rRNA from 1 species